UUACCGAGUUUACACUCCCAAACCCAAUGUGAACCAUACCAAACUGUUGCCUCGGCGGGGUCACGCCCCGGGUGCGUCGCAGCCCCGGAACCAGGCGCCCGCCGGAGGGACCAACCAAACUCUUUUCUGUAGUCCCCUCGCGGACGUUAUUUCUUACAGCUCUGAGCAAAAAUUCAAAAUGAAUCAAAACUUUCAACAACGGAUCUCUUGGUUCUGGCAUCGAUGAAGAACGCAGCGAAAUGCGAUAAGUAAUGUGAAUUGCAGAAUUCAGUGAAUCAUCGAAUCUUUGAACGCACAUUGCGCCCGCCAGUAUUCUGGCGGGCAUGCCUGUCCGAGCGUCAUUUCAACCCUCGAACCCCUCCGGGGGGUCGGCGUUGGGGAUCGGGAACCCCUAAGACGGGAUCCCGGCCCCGAAAUACAGUGGCGGUCUCGCCGCAGCCUCUCCUGCGCAGUAGUUUGCACAACUCGCACCGGGAGCGCGGCGCGUCCACGUCCGUAAAACACCCAACUUCUGAAAUGUUGACCUCGGAUCAGGUAGGAAUACCCGCUGAACUUAAGCAUAUCAAUAA
rnacentral:rRNA from 1 species